GGUUGGAUGCAUUUGAUUCUGUAUAUUAUUGUCGUAGAAUUACGUAAUUUUUGUGGAGGAUUUUCCAGUGGACCUUUGUAACCCCUGGAAUUGGAGAUACUUGUACCUUUUCUCCAAGUUGAAAUGAACUUUGUUCAAUUUUUUAUUUAAAUUUGACGCAUUGGAACUUUGCAUAGUACCAAUUCUCUAGGGGAAGCACGCUAAUUUUGUAUCCAGCUAUUUCUAUCACUGUUGCAGUCUUCCGUUUUUGGUUUACUAACAAUGGGGACUAGAACUUGGGCCUUUGCCUAAGUUUGGUGGUGCACCUACCAUUAGGCUAAUGCAUUCUUCUUCUGCUUGUGAUGCAAUUAUAUUUUUGAAUCUGUUUGACAUCCUUUUUUGAUG
rnacentral:misc_RNA from 1 species